CUGACCUCACACCAGCCAAAGGUGUGGGCAGAACCCAGCAAGGAAUGUGUAAGCCUCACGUUUGAGCAGGAAGAACUGAGCCAGCCCAAGGUUACAGCAGCCAAACAUGGCUGGGACUGUCUGGGGCACAGUGUUUGUAUGUGUGUCCUGAGGAGAUUCUUCUGCCUCUCUUCUGUAUUGUACUCUUGAGCACAGGAAUGCACACCUGGUGCAAUGCAAGGGACAAGAGUUCCUGAUGAAGGAAGCAACACAUGCAAGUGUGGAGGAAUGUCUGUGCUGUGACUGGAGAAAGUACACUGCAGGGAUGCUUCUCACAAUUAUGUGUAGCAAUAAAACCUUGCUGAAAGCUA